UCGGGAAUUUUGGGCAAUGGGCGAAAGCCUGACCCAGCAACGCCGCGUGAAGGAUGAAGUAUUUCGGUAUGUAAACUUCGUAAGAAUAGGAAGAAUAAAUGACGGUACUAUUUGUAAGGUCCGGCUAACUACGUGCCAGCAGCCGCGGUAAUACGUAGGGACCAAGCGUUGUUCGGAUUUACUGGGCGUAAAGGGCGCGUAGGCGGUGUGUCAAGUCAGUUGUGAAAUCUCCGAGCUUAACUCGGAACGGUCAGGUGAUACUGUCGUGCUAGAGUGUGGAAGGGGCUACUGGAAUUCUUGGUGUAGCGGUGAAAUGCGUAGAUAUCAAGAGGAACACCUGCGGCGAAGGCGGGUAGCUGGGCCAACACUGACGCUGAAGCGCGAAAGCUAGGGGAGCGAACGGGAUUAGAUACCCCCGUAGUCCCUGAGCGGGCUGGCAAGGCGCAU
rnacentral:rRNA from 1 species